rnacentral:rRNA from 1 species
AGCGGGAAAAGCUCAAAUUUAAAAUCUGGCAGUCUUUUGGCUGUCCGAGUUGUAAUCUAGAGAAGUGCUAUCCGUGCUGGACCAUGUAUAAGUCUCCUGGAAUGGAGUAUCACAGAGGGUGAGAAUCCCGUCUUUGACAUGGACUCCCAGUACAUUGUGAUGUGCUCUCAAAGAGUCGAGUUGUUUGGGAAUGCAGCUCUAAAUGGGUGGUAAAUUCCAUCUAAAGCUAAAUAUUGGCGAGAGACCGAUAGUGAACAAGUACCGUGAGGGAAAGAUGAAAAGAACUUUGGAAAGAGAGUUAAACAAGUNCGUGAAAUUGUUGAAAGGGAAACGCUUAAAGUCAGUCACAUUGGCUGGGGAUCAACCCUGCUCUUUUGCUGGGUGUACUUCCAGNUGAUGGGUCAGCAUCAAUUUUGAUCAUUGGAAAAAGGCAGAGGGAAUGUGGCAUCUCAGGAUGUGUUAUAGCCUUCUGUUGUAUACAGUGGUUGGGAUUGAGGA